UACGGAGGGUGCAAGCAUUAAUCGGAAUUAUUGGGCGUAAAGGGCGCGUAGGCGGGUUUGUAAGUCAGAUGUGAAAUUCCGGAGCUCAACUUCGGAGCUGCAUUUGAGACUAUAAGUCUAGAGGUAUGGCGGAGAAAAUGGAAUUCCACGUGUAGCGGUGAAAUGCGUAGAUAUGUGGAAGAACACCUGUGGCGAAAGCGAUUUUCUAGCUAUAACCUGACGCUGAGGCGCGAGAGCAAGGGGAGCAAACAGGA
rnacentral:rRNA from 1 species